GUGAUCGAUUUCGUGAUCUUUUUAAGAAUGCCGUGAACGGGCAUUUAUCCAAACUAUAUACACCUGGUUUGACAUAUCCGCGCGGUCUCAUCCUGGUUUAGCAAACGUGCAACGGAUUGAGCCAGGAUGCACUGAUUAAACUAGGUCAAGCCGCGAUUGUUCUGUUAUCCUGGCUUUCUUAAUUCUACUCUUAUGCAAUACCCCCCAGGCCAUAUGUCAAGCUCAAUAUUUUUGUCAUAUCUUGUAUACUCAUUAUUUCAGCGUGCUGGAAUACCCCUAAAUACUGUUUCCAUUUUUCCAUUCUGAAUGCAGCCUUUUCUGAAAUAAAUUGGACAAAUCACAACAUCUAAGUAAAUGAGUGGUUGACAGCUGUCCCUAAUCAAUAAACUAGAGAUCUGCAGAGACUCAGAAAACUAUAUAAGAAACCAAGGCAUGGUUGGUUAAAUCAAGAGGAUCUUUUGGGAGGCUUAUUGUAUUUGGUGUUGGGUUAUAUGGUAGGCGAAAUGGCUUUGAUGUUUGGACUCUCAUUGAGAGUUACCUUGAUAAACUGCCUGCUAUUUGGUGGGAUAGCCUGUUUUCCAACAUCAAAGGGUGACUAUGAAGGAAUUCACCAAGCUACACAAAAAGGAACAAACCACGGAAAUAAAACAAUAUGGCAUCGAAUACAUGUGCC
ensembl:lncRNA